CUCCUACGGGAGGCAGCAGUAGGGAAUCUUCCACAAUGGACGAAAGUCUGAUGGAGCAACGCCGCGUGAGUGAAGAAGGGUUUCGGCUCGUAAAGCUCUGUUGGUAGUGAAGAAAGAUAGAGGUAGUAACUGGCCUUUAUUUGACGGUAAUUACUUAGAAAGUCACGGCUAACUACGUGCCAGCAGCCGCGGUAAUACGUAG
rnacentral:rRNA from 1 species